UACGUAGGGUGCAAGCGUUGUCCGGAAUUAUUGGGCGUAAAGAGCUCGUAGGCGGUUUGUCGCGUCUGCUGUGAAAACUCGGGGCUUAACUCCGGGCCUGCAGUGGGUACGGGCAGACUAGAGUGCGGUAGGGGAGACUGGAAUUCCUGGUGUAGCGGUGAAAUGCGCAGAUAUCAGGAGGAACACCCAUUGCGAAGGCAGCUCGCUGGGACGUUACUGACGCUGAGACGCGAAAGCGUGGGGAGCAAACAGG
rnacentral:rRNA from 1 species